rnacentral:rRNA from 1 species
AACGAACGCUGGCGGCAGGCCUAACACAUGCAAGUCGAGCGCUCUAGCAAUAGGGAGCGGCGCACGGGUGAGUAACGCGUAGGAAUCUACCUUGUAGUACGGAACAACAGUUGGAAACGGCUGCUAAUACCGUAUACGCCCUUCGGGGGAAAGUAGUUCGCUAUAAGAUGAGCCUGCGUUAGAUUAGCUAGUUGGUGAGGUAAUGGCUCACCAAGGCUCCGCUCUAUAGCUGGUCUGAGAGGAUGAUCAGCCACACUGGGACUGAGACACGGCCCAGACUCCUACGGGAGGCAGCAGUGGGGAAUAUUGGGCAAUGGGCGCAAGCCUGACCCAGCCAUGCCGCGUGAGUGAUGACGGCCUUAGGGUUGUAAAGCUCUUAGUGGUGAGGAUGAUGACGGUAACCACAGAAAAAGCCCCGGCUAACUUCGUGCCAGCAGCCGCCGUAA